rnacentral:rRNA from 1 species
CUUGCUGGGGGGAUCAGUGGCGAACGGGUGAGUAACACGUGAGCAACCUACCCUUGACUUUGGGAUAACUCCGGGAAAUCGGGGCUAAUACUGGAUAUGACUUCUUGCCGCAUGGUGGGGAGUGGAAAGAUUUAUCGGUCAGGGAUGGGCUCACGGCCUAUCAGCUUGUUGGUGGGGUAAUGGCCUACCAAGGCGACGACGGGUAGCCGGCCUGAGAGGGCGACCGGCCACACUGGGACUGAGAUACGGCCCAGACUCCUACGGGAGGCAGCAGUGGGGAAUAUUGCACAAUGGGCGAAAGCCUGAUGCAGCGACGCCGCGUGAGGGAUGACGGCCUUCGGGUUGUAAACCUCUUUCAGUAGGGAAGAAGCGAAAGUGACGGUACCUGCAGAAGAAGCGCCGGCUAACUACGUGCCAGCAGCCGCGGUAAUACGUAGGGCGCAAGCGUUGUCCGGAAUUAUUGGGCGUAAAGAGCUCGUAGGCGGUUUGUCACGUCUGGUGUGAAAGCCCGAGGCUCAACCUCGGGUCUGCAUCGGGUACGGGCAGACUAGAGUAUGGUAGGGGAGACUGGAAUUCCUGGUGUAGCGGUGGAAUGCGCAGAUAUCAGGAGGAACACCGAUGGCGAAGGCAGGUCUCUGGGCCAUUACUGACGCUGAGGAGCGAAAGCGUGGGGAGCGAACAGGAUUAGAUACCCUGGUAGUCCACGCCGUAAACGUUGGGCACUAGAUGUGGGGCUCAUUCCACGAGUUCCGCGUCGCAGCUAACGCAUUAAGUGCCCCGCCUGGGGAGUACGGCCGCAAGGCUAAAACUCAAAGGAAUUGACGGGGGCCCGCACAAGCGGCGGAACAUGCGGAUUAAUUCGAUGCAACGCGAAGAACCUUACCAAGGCUUGACAUAUACCGGAA